rnacentral:rRNA from 1 species
UUGACGGGGCCCGCACAAGCGGUGGAGCAUGUGGUUUAAUUCGAUGCAACGCGAAGAACCUUACCUGGGCUUGACAUCCCGGGAAUCCCCUGGAAACAGGGGAGUGCCCUUGGGAACCCGGUGACAGGUGCUGCAUGGCUGUCGUCAGCUCGUGUCGUGAGAUGUUGGGUUAAGUCCCGCAACGAGCGCAACCCUUGUCUUUAAUUGCCAUCAUUUAGUUGGGCACUUUAAAGAGACUGCCGGUGUUAAGCCGGAGGAAGGUGGGGAUGACGUCAAGUCCUCAUGGCCUUUAUGUCUAGGGCUACACACGUACUACAAUGGCAGGUACAAAGGGCAGCGACACAGCGAUGUGAUGCGAAUCCCGAAAAGCCUGUCUCAGUCCGGAUCGGAGUCUGCAACUCGACUCCGUGAAGUUGGAAUCGCUAGUAACCGCAUAUCAGCAUGGUGCGGUGAAUACGUUCUCGGGCCUU